AUACGUAGGUGACAAGCGUUAUCCGGAUUUACUGGGCGUAAAGGGCGUGUAGGCGGUCUUGCAAGUCAGAAGUGAAAUUCCUGAGCUCAACUCGGGCGCUGCUUCUGAAACUGCAGGACUUGAGUGCUGGAGGGGAUAGCGGAAUUCCUAGUGGAGCGGUAAAAUGCGCAGAUAUUAGGAAGAACACCGGUGGCGAAGGCGGAUAUCUGGACAGUAACUGACGCUGAGGCGCGAAAGCGUGGGGAGCAAACAGGCAUAGAUACCCUGGUAGUCCACGCCGUAAACGAUGAAGACUAGGUGUAGGGGGUAUCGACUCCCUCUGUGCCGCAGUUAACACAAUAAGUAUUCCGCCUGGGGAGUACGGCCGCAAGGUUGAAACUCAAAGGAAUUGACGGGG
rnacentral:rRNA from 1 species